rnacentral:rRNA from 1 species
AUUGAACGCUGGCGGCAUGCUUUACACAUGCAAGUCGAACGGUAACAGGCCUUCGGGUGCUGACGAGUGGCGAACGGGUGAGUAAUGCAUCGGAACGUACCCAGAGGUGGGGGAUAACGCAGCGAAAGCUGUGCUAAUACCGCAUGUGAUCUGAGGAUGAAAGCGGGGGACCGAGCAGCAAUGAUUGGCCUCGCGCCUUUGGAGCGGCCGAUGUCGGAUUAGCUAGUUGGUGGGGUAAAGGCCUACCAAGGCGACGAUCCGUAGCUGGUCUGAGGGGACGACCAGCCACACUGGGACUGAGACACGGCCCAGACUCCUACGGGAGGCAGCAAUGGGGAAUUUUGGACAAUGGGCGCAAGCCUGAUCCAGCAAUGCCGCGUGCGGGAAGAAGGCCUUCGGGUUGUAAACCGCUUUUGGCAGGAACGAAACGGUGUCCGCUAAUACCGGGCGCUAAUGACGGUACCUGCAGAAUAAGCACCGGCUAACUACGUG